rnacentral:rRNA from 1 species
CCUACGGGGUGCAGCAGUGGGGAAUAUUGGACAAUGGGCGAAAGCCUGAUCCAGCCAUGCCGCGUGUGUGAAGAAGGCCUUCGGGUUGUAAAGCACUUUCAGUGGGGAAGAAAGCCUUGGGGCUAAUACCCUCGAGGAAGGACAUCACCAACAGAAGAAGCACCGGCUAACUCCGUGCCAGCAGCCGCGGUAAUACGGAGGGUGCGAGCGUUAAUCGGAAUUACUGGGCGUAAAGCGCGCGUAGGCGGUCUGAUAAGCCGGUUGUGAAAGCCCCGGGCUCAACCUGGGAACGGCAUCCGGAACUGUCAGGCUAGAGUGCAGGAGAGGAAGGUAGAAUUCCCGGUGUAGCGGUGAAAUGCGUAGAGAUCGGGAGGAAUACCAGUGGCGAAGGCGGCCUUCUGGACUGACACUGACGCUGAGGUGCGAAAGCGUGGGUAGCAAACAGGAUUAGAUACCCCUGUAGUC